AGAGUUUGAUCCUGGCUCAGGAUGAACGCUGGCGGCAUGCCUAACACAUGCAAGUCGAACGGACAAGAGAGCUUCGGUUUUCUUGUUAGUGGCGGACGGGUGAGUAACGCGUGAGGAACCUGCCUUUCAGAGGGGGAUAACGUUUGGAAACGAACGCUAAUACCGCAUAAUGUUACGGGACUGCAUGGUCUUGUAACCAAAGGAGCAAUCCGCUGAUAGAUGGCCUCGCGUCUGAUUAGAUAGUUGGUGAGGUAACGGCCCACCAAGUCGACGAUCAGUAGCCGGACUGAGAGGUUGAACGGCCACAUUGGGACUGAGACACGGCCCAGACUCCUACGGGAGGCAGCAGUGAGGGAUAUUGCACAAUGGGGGAAACCCUGAUGCAGCAAUGCCGCGUGAAGGAUGACGGUUUUCGGAUUGUAAACUUCUGUUCCAGAUCAUGAAAAAAAUGACUAAUCUGGCAGCAAGCCACGGCUAACUACGUGCCAGCAGCCGCGGUAAUACGUAGGUGGCGAGCGUUAUCCGGAUUUACUGGGUGUAAAGGGUGCGUAGGCGGGAUAGCAAGUUGGAUGUGAAAUACCGAGGCUCAACUUCGGAGCUGCAUCCAAAACUGUUAUUCUUGAGUGGAGUAGAGGUAAGCGGAAUUCCGAGUGUAGCGGUGAAAUGCGUAGAUAUUCGGAGGAACACCGGUGGCGAAGGCGGCUUACUGGGCUCUAACUGACGCUGAGGCACGAAAGUAUGGGUAGCAAACAGGAUUAGAUACCCUGGUAGUCCAUACUGUAAACGAUGAAUGCUAGCCGUGCGGCCCGAAUGUGGGCUGCGUGGCCGAGCGAAAGCGUUAAGCAUUCCACCUGGGGAGUACGCCGGCAACGGUGAAACUCAAAGGAAUUGACGGGGGCCCGCACAAGCGGAGGAACAUGUGGUUUAAUUCGAUGAUACGCGAGGAACCUUACCCGGGCUCAAACGCGGCGGCGAGAUUUUUGAAAGGAGGUCGUAGGCCAGCAAUGGCCAACCGUCGCGAGGUGCUGCAUGGUUGUCGUCAGCUCGUGCCGUGAGGUGUCGGCUUAAGUGCCAUAACGAGCGCAACCCCCAUUGCCAGUUGCCAGCAGGCAAAGCUGGGCACUCUGGCGAGACUGCCAGCGCAAGCUGUGAGGAAGGCGGGGAUGACGUCAAAUCAGCACGGCCCUUACGUCCGGGGCGACACACGUGUUACAAUGGCAGGCACAGCGGGAAGCCACCCGGCGACGGGGAGCGGAUCCCGAAAGCCUGUCUCAGUUCGGAUCGGAGUCUGCAACUCGACUCCGUGAAGCUGGAUUCGCUAGUAAUCGCGCAUCAGCCAUGGCGCGGUGAAUACGUUCCCGGGCCUUGCACACACCGCCCGUCA
rnacentral:rRNA from 1 species